CUUUGGCCUUCUGCAGGUCCCCUGUGAAGCCAGACCAGCUUACCAGGAGUCAGACUGGAUUGUGUUGCUAGGUGCCUCUUCCCCAGGAAGCUUCUGCCUCCCAACCUGUGGUUGGAAGUUGCCUGGCUUUUCCUGGCUGCUUUGCUUGGGCCAUUUGAAGGUGUUUGUGGCCUCUCCCUAGGCCUUGGUCAAGAAGCCUGGGGUUUCAGGAAAAAAAAAAAACACAUGAAUCUGCCUCUGGUUUGUGACCAGCACCUGGUGUGAGGAGCCAGCCUAGGAUACAGAUACUGGAGAGGAGUCACAGUGAUCCUCAGGACAAGUCCUUUCCCUGUUCCUUCUUGCCAGAGCAGGAAGUGGGGAAGGCAAAAGAAUGCCUGAUCACUGGAACAGGAUUUCUGAGGCCUCUGCACCUCCUGGUUCUUCUUCAGUUGGUCCUGUGAGUUUGCAGGUCCAGUUGGGGCAUGGUAGCCUCUUUUUUGCUUUCCAUUCCACUUUCCCACAUUUUAGACUGCUGUGUUUUUUUUAAGACGCAAAGGGCGGGGGGAGAGUGGAGUGGAGAGGCAAGUGGCAGCAACUUUGAGAAGUGUAGUGCUCUAUCGCCAUCAAGUGGAAUGAGUUUCUGAUGAGUGGAGCCGAUUGGGCACCAGGGCCCAGUCCAGUCCAGCUCCGUGCAGGAAUCAGGGCCGCGAUCCACCACCGCCACUUGCCAUCAACCCAUGGCCACCGCGAACCAAGGUGGACGGUUACGCCCUGGCUGGCACUUGCCCCAGCUCAUUCCAAGCACAAGGGACACCCUGACUCCUCCACCAGGGAGCAGGGAGGAAGAAAAGGCUGACAGUGGGCGGCCCUCCAUAGCUGCCACAGACUGCUAUCUUCCCGGCAAGGAAAGGGGCCUCCUGGCCUCAGCGUGUGCUGACCUCAGGCAGGAGCACCUGCAACUCUUGACCUAAGACCCCAGACCGCAAGGCCAGAACUCAGCUCAGUCAGAGGCCAGCGGCUUCUCCUGGCCCAUCCUAAAAUGGCGCCACAGGCAGCUCCGCCCCCUGUGCUGGUUGGUGCAGCUCUACUGCCCGGAGGGUCCCAGGGCCCCUGGACGGGCUGCUUUCCCUGGGUAGGGUCCUGAGGGCAGGCAGGCUUCCCCCUGUGUUUUGGACCCCUGGCCGGGGGAGACCCUUCCUUGGCCAGAGUACGCUUUUCCCAGCCCGUCCUUGCUCUUACAUCCCCAUACCACACCACCCUGGUGCCAGGCUGCUGGCACAAAGCAAGUGUCCCUUCUGCCUGGGUUUUUCAGAAACUAUUUCCGCUAGAUGUCACUGUGGUUCCACAAAUAACAGUCACUUUUCCCCACCCCCACCUAGGCUUCCAUUUCCUCCUUUUGUUAUCUGAAAACACCAGAGAGGAUGCCCAUGGUACCUUAAGUCAGGCUGUAGACCUUCCUUUCUUGGUCCCUUUCCCGGCAUAUCUGGCUCUCUGCUUCUUCCUUUUCUCUGGAUUCACCUCUUGGUUUUUGUCCCUGUGGACACAGACCUACUUUUUCUCCGUGCAUUGCCCAAUCUGCCUUCUAUUGACUUGGGAAGGGGGUGGGGAUGCACAUUCCACAUUUCCCUAGACAUGUGCUUGUCUCACCAGAGCAGGAACCAGGGCAUCCUGUUGUUAUGCAUUUCACUUCUCCCUUGGUAGCCAAGUCCCUUGUGACCAAGGAGCCAAGGAUCCACUGCAAAGGAUCAGGUUAAAGAUACCUGCUAAAGAACCUGAUAGGACUGGGAGAUAGAAAGGGUACCUCAUCUCCUCAGGCCACCUUCCUCACAGGACUCCUCUGUACUCUCUGUGCCCCAGGUUUUUGUGCCCAACCUGAGAUGUUUCACGAGUGCCUUUCUAUGGAACGCUACUGGUGUUUCAUACAAUGCAUUGACCCACUGGUUGGGAUCUAGAUGUCCCUGGUGCAGGCAUAGGUAAGCCAGGCUGGCAGGCUUCAGUACUACACCAAGAGCAGUGCUUGUAUCAAGUUAAGGGGUUCUAGGUCCAGUUGGUGUUUAAUCCCUUAGGGUGGGGAUGAGGUUGUGGGAGAGGGAAGGUUAGAGGAUGGAUGUUGGAAGUG
rnacentral:lncRNA from 1 species